CUGAAGGAGAAGAAAUCUUGCUGCUGUCUGCAGCCCCCAUACGUAGAUGAACCUCUGCGAAGUGGUGGAACCCCAUUUCUGCCCAGCUCUAGAGAGAGAAAUCAGUUUUAUGGCAUGCAGUGUUUAAGUGUGAUUAGCCCCAGUCACGGAAGACAUGACACAGGAUGGCUGUAUCGUGGUUGGUACUCUUCAUUUCCAGUCAGUUCAUGGGCCCUGUGGAGCAUGAGCCAGCCCCGGUCCACGUUUCCAAGUGGCAGAUUUGUCAAAAAAAUCAGUCAGAAGAUCUCAGACGUACAGUUGGAGCGAGGCUCUCAGUAUAUGGAUGUCUAAGUGUAAUUUUAAAGAAGGCACAUGGAAGGAAGUUUGAUUAAAUGGACUUUUAUGGCUUUGGUUUUCUAAACAACAGAAGUUAAUUGCAGGGGAGGGUGCUUGCCCCUGUGCGGAUUCCUCCAUCUGAGCAGUUCGCUGAAACCCAAAAUGUCUAGCCAGCUGUGGAUUGAAAGCAUUCGUUUAGAGGCCAAUGGUGUUUUCUGUUUGUCUGAUGCCGAUCUAAUACU